UUGGCUGCAUGGCUGCUGCUCAGGUUUUUUAGGUCUUUGUUGUUCCCAGGCAGACAGAUGGAAUUUGUCACAAGAAACUAAUCAGGGACACUGAGACCUAGUUGCACUUACAGGGAUAAAAUCUCAGACUGAGGAGUCAUUAGAAAGCUGCCUCUCACAAGCACGCUGCCUGCUGGGUCACAGACCAUUGCCCAGGCCAUUUUCCUGGCAAAGCCAUUUAGGGGGACAGAGCCUCCCGGACCCCCGGGGACAGCCAGCAGCCCCAAUGCGCUCCAAGGCAGCUCCUUCGGCUCCUGUCCCACCUGCGGGGAAGCGCCCGGAGGGACAGACGGACAGGCGCUGCCUCCCGGGGCUGCCAGCACAGAGCCCGGCUGCCUUCAGGGAGCGUUCCUUGUGUUCUCACAGGUUUUCUAGGGAAGCUUAGACUGGUUACGUUAGAAGAAGCAAGAGUGAUUGAAAGUGUGAUGGUGCUGAGCCGUCCUGCAGGGCUCCUUCUCCCUGAAGCCUUUGAAGUCAGAGCAGUUUGGGAGCUCAGGCUCUGUUCAGCACUCAGCUCCUGCAGCCAGGGACAGAACCAUGUGCUGCCAGCAUUCUCCUCCCCUGUUUCAGGCCUUUGCAUGUUUCCUUAGAACAGUUCCAAAAGGGCAAACACCUGCAAUUCUCCCUUUCAGUGUGAGCCUGAGUGCUCUCCAGUGAACUGCUGCUGUUUCCUGAAGGAAUUAUAGACUGGAAUUAAGUAAUUAUGGGCUGGAUUCAUCCCUCCUUAACUAGCUUUCUCUGCAGAGAAAUAAUAAAGCUGGCCAAAGAAAACUUACCUGUGGCUGCUGAGAUUUCAGUGUGAGGCUUUUCAAGUUUUACAUUUAACAAGUUAAAGGAUCUUCAAAUGUUUCUCUUUUUUUCCUGGCCUGGGAAGGAGCAGGGCUGCUCACAUUCCAGCAGGGCUCUGGCUCUGCUGACCUCUGCAGGCAAUGAGGCGAGGCUACAAAGGUGACAUCAAUGACAACAGUUAUUUUUAUAGAAAAACAGAAAUUACAUAUUUUUCAUUUCUUCAAAUGAAAAACCCCAAACAAGCGUGAACAUGAAUGAGAUGGUUCAUUCUGAGAAGUUUUUCUGGUAUCAAUAGAUACGAUCUUACACAAUAUGGUGUUUUGUUUCAGUUUCUCUCUUGUUUUCCUAAUUUACGUUGUGUUUUAUCAUCUUGAAAAAUAUCCCUCAGGCUGCUAAUGGCAACAGGACCUAGAGUGGUGAUUUAACACGAGAAAAUAUGCUCUCUUACCACAUUUUCUCACACUUUUCCCUUUGUGCUGUGAUGUCAUUAAAGCACUUAAAUCCGGGUGCAGAGGCUGGAUCUCAUUGUGUCCCUCAGCCAUGGAGCUGUCCUGGCGGGUACCAGCGCUGUCACUCAGCAGCAUCUCCCUCUUGUGGCACCUGGCAGCUCCCAGAGACCCAGUCCCCACUGAACAGCAGCUGCCAGUGAGCCCAGGA